rnacentral:rRNA from 1 species
GCACCUGAUCUAGCCAUGCCGCGUGAGUGAUGAAGGCCCUAGGGUCGUAAAGCUCUUUCGCCAGGGAUGAUAAUGACAGUACCUGGUAAAGAAACCCCGGCUAACUCCGUGCCAGCAGCCGCGGUAAUACGGAGGGGGUUAGCGUUGUUCGGAAUUACUGGGCGUAAAGCGCGCGUAGGCGGAUCAGAAAGUUGGGGGUGAAAUCCCGGGGCUCAACCCCGGAACUGCCUCCAAAACUCCUGGUCUUGAGUUCGAGAGAGGUGAGUGGAAUUCCGAGUGUAGAGGUGAAAUUCGUAGAUAUUCGGAGGAACACCAGUGGCGAAGGCGGCUCACUGGCUCGAUACUGACGCUGAGGUGCGAAAGUGUGGGGAGCAAACAGGAUUAGAUACCCCGGUAGUCA